rnacentral:lncRNA from 13 species
UAAUAUGUGGUUGUUCCUCUCGGGAGCAGUAGUAUAUAAUGAUGUAUUAUAAUACUAUAUAACAGUAAUAUGUGGUUGUUCCUCUCAGGAGUUCUUCUUUGAUCCUGAGGUGCUGACAGAGGGACAGCUGGCUCCUAACGACCGCUGCUGCAGGAUAUGUGGCAAGAUCGGACACUUCAUGAAAGACUGCCCCAUGCGCAGGAAGUCUAGGCAGCGUCGUGAACAGGAGGACCGAGCGGAGGGAAGGAGGGACUGGGCGGAGGGGGGCAGGGAACAUCGUCAGGGUGAAUACUGGAGAAGACAGGAAGAGAAACGGUGCUGCUUCCUGUGUGGAAGCCACGCCCACAUCAAGAAAGACUGCCCCCAGUACAGAGGACCAGCUGGGGCCUUCUCUUCAUCUCCCUCUACGAGCCACAUGAGGAAUUUGAGAGAGAGAAAAACAGGCAGUCUAGCCAGCAGACACAUGGGUCUGUCUGGUCCCAGAAGGAGCCCAGUGGACUGAGGAGAUGGGGAGAGAGAGAGAGGCAGCUCUAGCCCCAAACCUCUGGGUUCUACUCUCCUCCCUCUGAGGUCUGACCUCCAGUCCACCAGCCUGAACCNNNNNNNNNNAUUGUCCAAUUAUUUUACUGUAAUUUCACAGAAACUUUUCAAACUAUAUGUAAAUGUUUCGGUAGCUUUACAUUACAACAUAGCGUUACCUUUCUUAAGCUUCAGUGCAUCUCAUCCCUGCUAUAUUGAAUCCACGUGUGUUCCAGGCAGUCUAGCCAGCAGACACAUGGGUCUGUCUGGUCCCAGAAGGAGCCCAGUGGACUGAGGAGAUGGGGAGAGAGAGAGAGGCAGCUCUAGCCCCAAACCUCUGGGUUCUACUCUCCUCCCUCUGAGGUCUGACCUCCAGUCCACCAGCCUGAACCUAGAACAUCCGGAACUCAGAACCCUACCCGUUGGAACCCUGACAUGGAACCCCAGUGGAUGGUGGCAGAGCCUGAGUGCCUGUCUUCCAAAUGGCACCCUAAUCCCUAUAUAGUGCACUACUUAUGACCAGGGCUUUACGUUUGACCAGCGCCCUGGUCAUAAGUAGUGCACUAUAAAGGGAUUAGGGUGCCAUUUGGGACAUAGAGAGGGUAUUUUAUGUUUUAACUACCCCUCCUGCCUCAGAGGAACUUUUUAAAUCGUUGUAUUGUGUUUUAACUGAAAAGCCAUUUUGCAUGCUCCUCCUCCUCCUCUAAGUUGAUUUUUAUUUUUUAAUGUUAUUUUAAAAGUGAUUAUUUGUUAGGUUUGUCUCGUGCAAUGAUGUCCUCCCAAAACACCCCCCC